CUCUGGGAGUGAAGUCAUGUAGCCUAUGCGACAAUUAAGUCACGUUUUCAGCAUGAAGGUCACUCGCCACUUUCCUCAAGCCCCUUUGCUCCAGUGCCAUCUCGAUUUGAUUAUAUGUGACAAAUAA